ACAAAUCUUGUGGCCCCUUGGGGGAGGGAUGGUGGAGGGGGGCGCCGUGGGUCACAGCCUUGUGGCCAGCGUCGUCGUCGUUCCACUCGCUCGGCCCGUCCCACUGGGGAACACAUUAGUCCCCGGGGGCCUCGCCGCCCCUGGAUGAUCACAUAUUAACCAUGAGAAUGUGAGGAAGGAGGGAAAACCAAAAUAC
rnacentral:misc_RNA from 1 species